GUUGGACUUGAUGGUCUCAGAGGUCUUUUCCAACGUGGCUGAUUCUGUGAUUCUCUGAUUCCCAUUCCUAUGGCAGCACAUGCUUGAGGCUCCAUCCCCAGGGUGAUAGAGAUGUCUGUCCAUAUCUAUCUCCAAGGUUCCUGUCCUUGAGCCCAGGCCCUGAGGUGAGGCUGAGAAGUGGCGCGGAGGUGAGCCCAGAGCUGUCCCUGAGGUGAGGCUGAGAAUAAGUGCAAGGCAGAGGUGCUGCUGAGGAAGGAGAGCCCCGUGGUGGGGAAGGCACAAAGCUGUGUUUGCCCAUCCCCAAGAAGGUGCUGUGUCCAUCCCCUGUGUGCCAGGAUUUUUCCUUCCCAAAGCUUGGGCGGAUGGAGGAGGAGGCUGCGAGGAAGAGGAAGAUGCCUUGGGCCCCCCAGGCAG